rnacentral:rRNA from 1 species
AUUGAACGCUGGCGGCAGGCCUAACACAUGCAAGUCGAGCGGAUGAAGGGAGCUUGCUCCUGGAUUCAGCGGCGGACGGGUGAGUAAUGCCUAGGAAUCUGCCUGGUAGUGGGGGAUAACGUCCGGAAACGGGCGCUAAUACCGCAUACGUCCUGAGGUAGAAAGUGGGGGAUCUUCGGACCUCACGCUAUCAGAUGAGCCUAGGUCGGAUUAGCUAGUUGGUGGGGUAAAGGCCUACCAAGGCGACGAUCCGUAACUGGUCUGAGAGGAUGAUCAGUCACACUGGAACUGGGACACGGUCCAGACUCCUACGGGAGGCAGCAGUGGGGAAUAUUGGACAAUGGGCGAAAGCCUGAUCCAGCCAUGCCGCGUGUGUGAAGAAGGUCUUCGGAUUGUAAAGCUCUUUAAGUUGGGAGGAAGGGCAGUAAGUUAAUACCUUGCUGUUUUGACGUUACCAACAGAAUAAGCACCGGCUAACUUCGUG